AGCAAUCAGGACCUGAAUAUGACUCCAGGUCACACAAUAAUUUAACACGUUCAUUAAUUUUGUACGUAGUUAUUGCACAUUGAUUACACUCUCACUCGUAUUUCAUAUGCCACAAAGAUUCACCGAUACAUAUGCUACGAGUCAAAGAUUUCGUCACUGAUGAUCACAUUUGCUUAAAGGUCGUUUGGACUCCGCCCAAGUCUCAGGUAGUGAUGAUAGACGUUCACUCAACUUCUGUUCUUCUGAGGUAAAAUUAGGUAGCUAGUUAACAAUAGCAGCCCAAUUUCUCAAAAAUUGUAAAUCUACCAUCUCUGAUUGCACACCAGACUGCUGCUCACGGACAGAAGAGAUGGACUUCAACCAUCAAUAGCCAGUGUCCUGUCAAGCGCCUUUGGAGGGGAGGCGGUAUCACAUCACCAAGGAGCAGCUUGAGUUCCUCAUAGAUUGUCAUAUGACCAUCAGACAAAUGGCAGAUGUUCUCAAUGUGUCGCACUCUGGUCAAGUUGCGCAUGAGGUGUAGGAUUGUUAUCCAUGGUGCUGUGGAUGGUUACAGCAGACUUGUUGUGUUUCUGAAGGCCUCUGACAACAACAGGACCGCCACAGUCAUGGAGUCAUUCGAAGCAGCCAUCACCAGCUACGGAACACCAUCCCAGAAACGUACGAUAGACAUCUUCAACUCUAAACGGAUGGGGACCAGAGUUUAGACACAGGUGGCCUUAACAAAAGUUAAGUACUUCCCCAUUCCAGUACGAUUCUGUUUGGUUAUAUUUGGAGAGAGUCAGAUACUGUUAAGAUAUACGGCCGAUGGUUAUUGUAUUUUGCUCUAUUGCGCUUUAGCACAGCAUUCCAUCUGCUGACACAUUAUUUGUCUUCCACUCAGUACAACACGACCCAGGAGAGGCCUACUGCAAGCACUGGUUUGGAACCUUCAGAGCGUGCCUGCUGUGGGAGGACAACAGAACAUUCCGAAUGGACAUUAUUAAAACAGAACUUACAUUUUUGUAAUGCCCAAUCGGGACUUUUAUAACUUGUUAAAAUAAAUAAUUGUGUGGAGAACGCCCUAUAGUUAAAAAAAUAAACUAUGAAGAUAGUGGUUUGAACUCGUUACAUUUUAUAUAAUUGUGAUUAACAGCAACCUAUUACAGUUAGUAACAUAACAUUGUUGACACAUUGUGACAGCUCAAAUGAUGUGGUUGAAGAUGGACUAGUGCAGGGCUCCUAACCUUGUUCCUGGAGAGCUACUGUCUUGUUGGUUCACUUUGACCCUAAUCUAGUGCACCUGAUUUGAAUAAUUACCUGCUUAAUAAGUUAAUGAGGUUUGUUAAAACUGAGGUUGGAUUGAAAACCUACAGGAGGGUAGCUCUCCAGGAACAGGGUUGGAGAGCCUUGGACUAAUGAAUCUAGUUCUUAGAUCAAUGCAUUUGAAAUUUGAUAAGUCACUACGAAGGUGCAGUUCCCAGAAGUGGAGAUGUCACUUAAUGCAGUGGAUGGGAAGCCUUAUUUCAUGUAGUUCUAAUUAAAUGAUAAUGGUUGAACUUCAUUUGUUCUUAAUGUAGGACAUCAAAUUAUC